rnacentral:rRNA from 1 species
AACGAACGCUGGCGGCAUGCCUAACACAUGCAAGUCGAACGAGACCUUCGGGUCUAGUGGCGCACGGGUGCGUAACGCGUUGGAACCUGCCCUUAGGUUCGGAAUAACUCCCCGAAAGGGGUGCUAAUACCGGAUAAUGUCCUCGGACCAAAGAUUUAUCGCGUUUGGAUGGGCCCGCGUUGGAUUAGCUAGUUGGUAGGGUAAAAGCCUACCAAGGCGACGAUCCAUAGCUGGUCUGAGAGGAUGAUCAGCCACACUGGGACUGAGACACGGCCCAGACUCCUACGGGAGGCAGCAGUGGGGAAUAUUGGACAAUGGGCGAAAGCCUGAUCCAGCAAUGCCGCGUGAGUGAUGAAGGCCUUAGGGUUGUAAAGCUCUUUUACCCGGGAUGAUAAUGACAGUACCGGGAGAAUAAGCUCCGGCUAACUCCGUG